UAUCGGAACGUGCCCAGUCGUGGGGGAUAACGUAGCGAAAGCUACGCUAAUACCGCAUACGAUCUAUGGAUGAAAGCGGGGGAUCGCAAGACCUCGCGCGAUUGGAGCGGCCGAUAUCAGAUUAGGUAGUUGGUGAGGUAAAGGCUCACCAAGCCGACGAUCUGUAGCUGGUCUGAGAGGACGACCCAGCCACACUGGGACUGAGACACGGCCCAGACUCCUACGGGAGGCAGCAGUGGGGAAUUUUGGACAAUGGGCGCAAGCCUGAUCCAGCAAUGCCGCGUGCAGGAUGAAGGCCUUCGGGUUGUAAACUGCUUUUGUACGGAACGGAACGGUGAGCUCUAAUACAGUUUGCUAAUGACGGUACCGUAAGAAUAAGCACCGGCUAACUACGUG
rnacentral:rRNA from 1 species